ensembl:lincRNA
UAAUCUUUAAAAAAAUAAGACAAUAAAAAAAAGAUAAAAAUAAAAAUUUUUUAAAAAGAGCAUGGCUUCCAUCAGCUGCUGGGAAGCCUCCCCAAGCGCAUGCUAUAAUGCCUGUGGCACAUGCCACCUUCCUUCUCGCUCCUCCUCCUUGAGAGCUGGAAGCCCCAGCUGGAUGGCCUCCAGUUCUGCAGGGUAGGAAUGGGGGGGAAGGGGACCUGUCCUGCCUGGGAACCCCCUGACACCUGUGCCUCCUAACCUGGGGGCUGCUUGCAGGCCUGGAACCUCCGGGACUAGAGUGCGUGGAAAAGGAUCACGUGGAGCCGGACCAUGUGUGAGUGCCUGCCCCAGGCAGGGGAGGGACCCGGACCCACUAGCCCAGAGGUCAGGGCAGGGGGAGGAGGGCACCGUGUGGCUGGCAUGGUCUGCCUGCCUGUAAGUGACAGGGGCCAGCCGCUUUGUCCCCGAGUCCCCCAUAACCUGGGUCUUCUCUUCUACACACUCCCUUCUCCCAGAGAAGCAUCAGAAGAGGGCUGGGGCUUCCACUUAGGGUCCAAAUCAGGACCUGGGGGCCUGGAAGGGCAGUGGCAGCUCGUGUCAGAGAGUGCUUCUGGGAUCUGGGCAACUGUGGGCAACUUUGAUUUCCCCCUCCAGGCUAAUUGUCCAGCAGGUGCUUCAAGAACUUCGGCAGUACCAUGGGGCCCGGCAGAGGGCCUGCCUGUCUGCCAGCCCGGGAAGAGCCCCCUCAAGCAUCACCUGGUUCGAGUUCCUGUCUGAGUAAGUACCGAGGGCUACCUCGGGUGGGGAGUGUGGGUGGGGCAGCUUUGGGGUCCACAAGAGCAUUUACCGAUGGCCCUCUGUACAUGGCACUGGGCUGGGGGCAGCAGCUGGGCCCCUAUGCCAUCCUCUCUCUGGAACCACAAGGGAGCCCAAAGGCUGCCCCUCAUCCAUUCUGGAAGGGAAGAGAAAGACUUCCUGGAGGAGGUGACAGCUUGGGCUGGGUCCCAAAGGAAGAGCAGGAGUUUGCCAAUAAGCAGAGAUGGGGGAGGGGAGGGACGGAGAAACUGGCACCUUCAGGGAAGCCCUAGGAAACGGUGUUGGGGUGAGGAGCAGGUUAGGCGGGAGAGGUCAGCAGAGGCCAUGUCGCUGCGGCAAAGCUAAGGGACAUGGACUUUGUCCUAAAGUGUGGAAGGAGUUUCAGACCUAAACAGCUCCCUGGUGACAGACAAUGGGGAGGAGAGACAGGGCUGGGGCUGGGGGAAUGGAGGGAAGAGAUGCCAAGAGGGUUGAGGGAUAUUCAGCAGGAAGAAGGGGCAGGAUUUAUAGGCCAAUUAGACAUGGGGAGUGGGGGUGAGGGCUGUAAACAAAGGGAGAAGUCAGAAGGAGACAGAGCCAAGAUUUCCAGCCCGGGCCACUCGAAGGACCCAAGUUCGUGGCACUCGCCUCUGCCAACCCAGCUCCCGCGGUUCCUGGAACUUUGCAAACAUCCGUGCAAAGCGAAGGAGUCAGGGACCAAGAAAGGCUAAAGGCGGAUCAGGAGGCCACAGGGAGACAGAGUCCAGAUGGAUUCCUGGAGCGCCGGGCAGGGAACGGCCGCCCCGGCCUGCAGGCCCUUCCUCAUCCUCCUUCUUUCCUUCCCCUCAGGAAGGAGGACGAUGGCAGCAAGAACGAGCGAGCCCACAGGAGUGCCAGGGUGAAGCGCAGCCUGAGCUCCCUCCGCAGCCGGGUCACCAGGCAGAAGGAGAAGGUCAGGGGGCCAGGCCAGGGUGAGCCGGAGGGGUCCACCCCCACCCCCACACACACACAUAGCACCCACCCCUCUCCCGCUGGGCCCCCUCUGCCUUCCCCUGCUCCCACGAUGCCCCAACCCAGGAGCCCUGUAAUUUGAGCACGGGGCAGAGCCCACAGCAGAGGACAUACUAAGGCCCCCGCCCACCCCCCACAGGGUAAGAGCCCAGCGCAGCCGAAGGACAAGGGGCAGGAUGCUCGAGAGAGGCGGGAGUGCGUCAGUGGGCACCAGCUGGCGCGAGGAACCUUCUAUGGCCACUCUGGCUGUCCCCUGUGCGGCAAACCGUUCCUGAGCUCCGGUGAGUCCAGCCUCCAGGCCCGGCCUUGGCCUUGGGCUUUGCAGCGCAGGGACCACCUUCCCUUUUCGACUCCCACGGCCUCUCUGUUCUGUGUGUCCUCUUCCCACUUUGCCCUCUCGUCAUCCUUGCAAAAAUCCUGCAAAAUCUGGAUGCGGGCAGUUGUUUCCUGCUUCCCGGACUCUCCGGUGGGGAGUAAAGGCAAGGGAUUUAAGGGUCCCAGAGUGAGAUGAUGCUGAUGGUUUCUGAGAUUUAGAACUUGGCCUUCUCAUCUCGCUGGCAAUAGCACGUUAGAAGAGCUGCAUGAGCUGUUGGUGGCGAGAAUCCCAAGUGCAGACCAAGUCAGCUCUCCAUAUCCCACUGGGACUGACUGGAUUCAGGCUAGGGCACUGAUGUCAUUAGCUCUGGGGGCUGGACAAUUCUUUGGCAUUGCAGGAUGUUGAGCAGGAUCCCUGGCCUCUAUCCAUUUGAGGCCAGUAGCACAGCCCCAGUUGAGGCAAUCAGUAUUGUGUCCAGCCAUUGUCCCAUGUCCCUGGGGGGGGGGGGCGGUGGCAGAGUGCAAAUGCUGUCUCCACUCACGAGUGGGGCACCUCUGUGUGACCUGAGCCACAGGUUUUAUAUUUCUUUACCAGCGCUCCUGUGGAUAUUUCCCUCCUCCCUCUCUCCUUCCUACCUUGUUCUGGAACUGUUUGCAGACUGUGAGCCUUUGGGUGCCCGGCUGGCUCAGGGGGUGCCUUCCAAUCUCAGGUCUCAGAUUCAAAAGACAGGGAGAGGCCAAAAGUGCUGGAAGUCCAUUCCUGAGGGCUUGCUGUUCCAGAUCAGGCUAAGUUGAACCACCAGCUUCUUCCCAAUACUGUUGAUUCUUUCUUAUCAUUGUCCAUCAGUUCUCUUCCUCCUUUUCCUUGGCCUCUCCUAAAAAUUCUGAGGUCUUCAAACCUCAAGGUAACUCAAAGCGGGGUCCCCUAAAAGGACCUGCAGCAUCACAUUACUUGAGAAGUAAUUACAAAUGCUGGAUCUUCAGCCCCACCUUUUGACCAGCCGAAACAGAAGCUGCAUUUUAUUGGCUUUAGAGUUUGCAAAGCAUAGCUCAGACACAGGAUUUCUCAACCUCAGCUCUAUUGACGUUUGGGGCCUGAAAAUUGACAUUUGGCGGGGGGAGGGGGUGGGUGCAUUGUUGGAUGUUUAGCGUCAUCCCUGGAUUCUACCCACUCAAUGCCAGCACCACUUCUCCCCCAAGUCCUGACGACCAAAAAUGAAUCCAGAAGUUGCCAAAUGUCCCCUGGGAAUCGAAUUGGUGCUGGUGCAAGGAAGAGCCUUCCAGGUGGUAGGAUCAAAGGCCCUGAGGCAGGAAGGGGCCUGUAUACAUGAUGACAGCAGGGAAGUGGGUGUGCCUGAAGUGGACAGGUUGCACAAACAUGCUUUCCCAGCACGCCAGCCUGCCCUUAUCCCAUCCAGCUUUUCCACCGGACUUUGACAGUUCUUGCCCAACACCUGGCUUGCCUUCUGCAAAUCCAGCCACAACAGAGGCUCCUCCUUGAGCCACCAGGCUUCAGCAGCUGCCUGCUCUGUAAGCUCCCAUCACUGCCCAGAGCCCCCUUUCGACUGAGUCUGUUGCCAAGGUCAUUCCUGCAUCAGCUGGGCUCUUGGGCUGGACAACUUCUAGCAAUCACAAACUUUCCUGAAUGGUCUUUAGGAGGCCAUGGAGCCCCUGAAGUUGUAUGCAAAAUCCGUUCUUGUCUCUGCAUUUUUCUGGGUCAAGGGCCCAGAGUUUCAAACCAAAGGAACACGUGACCUCCAAAAAGGUUAAGCAACAAUUAGCUAGGUCGGCAAACCACCAGCAGGCCAAAUCCACCCCAGUAUCUGUUUCAGUACGGCCUACAAAACAAAAAUUUUUUUUUUUUACAUUUUUCAGUGGUGGAGCAGAGGGGGAAAUCAAAAGAAGAAUAUUUUGUGACACAUGAACAUGAAAAUUGUAUGAAAUUCAAAUUUCAGUGUCGGGGAGUGGAUGUAGCUCAGUGGUUGAGCACCUGUUUUCCAUUAUUGGUCCUGGGUUUGAUCCCCGGUACCUCCCGGGGAAAAAAAAAUUCAGUGUCCACAUAAAGAGUUUUGUUGGAGCACAGUCAUGCCCAUUUGCUUGCAUGUCAUCUUUGGCUGCUUUCAGGUUUACCAACGUCAGAGUUGAGUAGUAGUUUGGGGCAUACCCCAUGAAGUUGAAAAUCUUUACUAUCUGGCUCUUUACAGAACAAGUUUGCUGACCCCUGAGCUGGAUUAUCCUAUCUGGCAGCAAGUAUAACCCAGGAGAAUGACUUACCGCAGGGGUUCUUAGCCGUUUUUGUUCCACAGACCCCUUUGCCAGUCAAGAGAAAACCACGGACCACUUACUAAGUUCACACUACACUGUGUAUGAUUUAAUAAAUACAUCACACCCGCACUAGUGUGUCCCCACAAGAAUAACAGUUUUAUUAAUUUCAGUUCAAGCUCACAGACCCCCUGAAAUCUUUCCACGGACCCCUUGGUGUCCAUGGACCACUGAAUAAGAACCCCUGACUUACCAUUCCUACAGACCAAUAAACUCCUUUACAGAUGUGGUCUUGAAAGAUAAGGGUUCAAAAAGGGACUAAUUUCCCAAAACUUUAGCAUCACAGAAGAUUUUAGGCCAAUAAUAAGAAUGGAUGACAGUACCUUCUCCCCAGCACCCUUAGUCCUUUAAAAGGAUUUACUCACUGCCCCUCACAAUUCUAUAAGGUUGGUCCAAUGAUAGUUUCCCUUUCUUCAGACAGGGAACCUGAGGCCCAAAGAAGGUUACCUUCUUGCCCAGGAGCACAGAGUCAGGAUUGGAACUCAGAGCCUGAGCUCCUGAGCAGCAAUCCACUGCCACAUUAUGCCAUUUGAUUUUAAAUUUGCAGAACAUUUCAAAGAGGGCACAGUCUUCACUCAGCCUCCCCUGAUAGCAGCAUCUUACAUAACCACAGUACAUUUAUCCCACCUUAGAAACCAAUGCGAAAUCAAUGCUAUUAACCAAAUUCCAGAUGCCAUUCAGCUUUCACCAGUUUUCCCACUAAGUUUGUCUUUCCACUCCAGGAGCCAAUCUAGGAUGCUAUAUUAUAUAUAAUCGCCAUUUGCUCUGUGACAGUUCCUCAGUCUUUUCAUGUUGUUCAUGCUCUGACAGCCUUGAGAGGCACUAGUUACGUAUUGCAUUAGGAAAUCCCCCAAUCCAGGUGUGUCUGAUGUUUUCUCAAGAUUAGACAGGGCUUGAGGAAAGAAUACCUCUUUCUCAUUACAGCCUGUCAGGGGGUACUUGAUAUCCAGAUGACAUCACGGUCAUCUUAAACUUCAUAACUUGUCUAAAGUCGAACUUGCAAAGGUUUCUCCACUGUAAAAUUACCAUUUUUCCAUUUCCCUACUCUAUUCUUUGGAAAUAAGUCCCUGAGCCUCAUCUGCCCU